rnacentral:rRNA from 1 species
GAUGAACGCUGGCGGCUUGCCUAAUACAUGCAAGUCGAGCGAACGGACGAGAAGCUUGCUUCUCUGAUGUUAGCGGCGGACGGGUGGGUAACACGUGGAUAACCUACCUAUAAGACUGGGAUAACUUCGGGAAACCGGAGCUAAUACCGGAUAAUAUUUUGAACCGCAUGGUUCAAAAGUGAAAGACGGUCUUGCUGUCACUUAUAGAUGGAUCCGCGCUGCAUUAGCUAGUUGGUAAGGUAACGGCUUACCAAGGCAACGAUGCAUAGCCGACCUGAGAGGGUGAUCGGCCACACUGGAACUGAGACACGGUCCAGACUCCUACGGGAGGCAGCAGUAGGGAAUCUUCCGCAAUGGGCGAAAGCCUGACGGAGCAACGCCGCGUGAGUGAUGAAGGUCUUCGGAUCGUAAAACUCUGUUAUUAGGGAAGAACAUAUGUGUAAGUAACUGUGCACAUCUUGACGGUACCUAAUCAGAAAGCCACGGCUAACUACGUGCCAGCAGCCGCGGUAAUACGUAGGUGGCAAGCGUUAUCCGGAAUUAUUGGGCGUAAAGCGCGCGUAGGCGGUUUUUUAAGUCUGAUGUGAAAGCCCACGGCUCAACCGUGGAGGGUCAUUGGAAACUGGAAAACUUGAGUGCAGAAGAGGAAAGUGGAAUUCCAUGUGUAGCGGUGAAAUGCGCAGAGAUAUGGAGGAACACCAGUGGCGAAGGCGACUUUCUGGUCUGUAACUGACGCUGAUGUGCGAAAGCGUGGGGAUCAAACAGGAUUAGAUACCCUGGUAGUCCACGCCGUAAACGAUGAGUGCUAAGUGUUAGGGGGUUUCCGCCCCUUAGCGCUGCAGCUAACGCAUUAAGCACUCCGCCUGGGGAGUACGACCGCAAGGUUGAAACUCAAAGGAAUUGACGGGGACCCGCACAAGCGGUGGAGCAUGUGGUUUAAUUCGAAGCAACGCGAAGAACCUUACCAAAUCUUGACAUCCUUUGACAACUCUAGAGAUAGAGCCUUCCCCUUCGGGGGACAAAGUGACAGGUGGUGCAUGGUUGUCGUCAGCUCGUGUCGUGAGAUGUUGGGUUAAGUCCCGCAACGAGCGCAACCCUUAAGCUUAGUUGCCAUCAUUAAGUUGGGCACUCUAAGUUGACUGCCGGUGACAAACCGGAGGAAGGUGGGGAUGACGUCAAAUCAUCAUGCCCCUUAUGAUUUGGGCUACACACGUGCUACAAUGGACAAUACAAAGGGCAGCGAAACCGCGAGGUCAAGCAAAUCCCAUAAAGUUGUUCUCAGUUCGGAUUGUAGUCUGCAACUCGACUACAUGAAGCUGGAAUCGCUAGUAAUCGUAGAUCAGCAUGCUACGGUGAAUACGUUCCCGGGUCU